CAGACUGAAAUCAUGGCAGGUCCUGAAGCUGAUACCCAAUUCCAGUUCACUGGCAUUAAAAAAUAUUUCAACUCCUACACUCUCACGGGUAGAAUGAACUGUGUAUUGGCCACAUAUGGAGGCAUUGCUUUGAUGGUAUUAUACUCCAAGUUAAGAUCUAAAAAAACUCCAGCUGUGAAAGCAACAUAAAUAGAUACUAAACUGUCUGAUUCUUA